rnacentral:rRNA from 1 species
ACGAACGCUGGCGGCGUGCCUAAUACAUGCAAGUAGAACGCUGAAGAGAGGAGCUUGCUCUUCUUGGAUGAGUUGCGAACGGGUGAGUAACGCGUAGGUAACCUGCCUUGUAGCGGGGGAUAACUAUUGGAAACGAUAGCUAAUACCGCAUAACAAUGGAUGACACAUGUCAUUUAUUUGAAAGGGGCAAUUGCUCCACUACAAGAUGGACCUGCGUUGUAUUAGCUAGUAGGUGAGGUAACGGCUCACCUAGGCGACGAUACAUAGCCGACCUGAGAGGGUGAUCGGCCACACUGGGACUGAGACACGGCCCAGACUCCUACGGGAGGCAGCAGUAGGGAAUCUUCGGCAAUGGGGGCAACCCUGACCGAGCAACGCCGCGUGAGUGAAGAAGGUUUUCGGAUCGUAAAACUCUGUUGUAAGUCAAGAACGAGUGUGAGAGUGGAAAGUUCACACUGUGACGGUAGCUUACCAGAAAGGGACGGCUAACUACGUGCCAGCAGCCGCGGUAAUACGUAGGUCCCGAGCGUUGUCCGGAUUUAUUGGGCGUAAAGCGAGCGCAGGCGGUUUGAUAAGUCUGAAGUUAAAGGCUGUGGCUCAACCAUAGUUCGCUUUGGAAACUGUCAAACUUGAGUGCAGAAGGGGAGAGUGGAAUUCCAUGUGUAGCGGUGAAAUGCGUAGAUAUAUGGAGGAACACCGGUGGCGAAAGCGGCUCUCUGGUCUGUAACUGACGCUGAGGCUCGAAAGCGUGGGGAGCGAACAGGAUUAGAUACCCUGGUAGUCCACGCCGUAAACGAUGAGUGCUAGGUGUUGGAUCCUUUCCGGGAUUCAGUGCCGCAGCUAACGCAUUAAGCACUCCGCCUGGGGAGUACGACCGCAAGGUUGAAACUCAAAGGAAUUGACGGGGGCCCGCACAAGCGGUGGAGCAUGUGGUUUAAUUCGAAGCAACGCGAAGAACCUUACCAGGUCUUGACAUCCCGAUGCUAUUUCUAGAGAUAGAAAGUUACUUCGGUACAUCGGUGACAGGUGGUGCAUGGUUGUCGUCAGCUCGUGUCGUGAGAUGUUGGGUUAAGUCCCGCAACGAGCGCAACCCCUAUUGUUAGUUGCCAUCAUUCAGUUGGGCACUCUAGCGAGACUGCCGGUAAUAAACCGGAGGAAGGUGGGGAUGACGUCAAAUCAUCAUGCCCCUUAUGACCUGGGCUACACACGUGCUACAAUGGUUGGUACAACGAGUUGCGAGUCGGUGACGGCAAGCUAAUCUCUUAAAGCCAAUCUCAGUUCGGAUUGUAGGCUGCAACUCGCCUACAUGAAGUCGGAAUCGCUAGUAAUCGCGGAUCAGCACGCCGCGGUGAAUACGUUCCCGGGCCUUGUACACACCGCCCGUCACACCACGAGAGUUUGUAACACCCGAAGUCGGUGAGGUAACCUUUUGGAGCCAGCCGCCUAAGGUGGGAUAGAUGAUUGGGGUG